rnacentral:misc_RNA from 1 species
GUGAAUCAUCGAAUCUUUGAACGCACAUUGCACUCUAUUUCGGUAGAGUAUGCCUGUUUGAGAAUCUAUAGUAUUUAUUUUGCCUUUAUGUUUUUUCGAAAACGUAGAGAACAAAGAUGUGCAUUUUGACUAACAAUCUAAUGCGAAUUAACUUAGCUGAACCAGUGCUUAUAGUGUCUGACUUUUUGCAACGCUUCAGAAAUGUAUUUGAAUGAGAUUUAUCUCUUAUAAUGCGGAUUAUGAAGCAGUAAAGAUUAGCUUUAAGAACUUUUACAGAUUAUAACUUAUAAAGCCUUAAAA